rnacentral:tRNA from 1 species
GCGGCCGUUGCUGAAUGGUAUAAGCGAGGGUUUUAGGUGCCCUUGGGAGAAAUCCCAUGUGGGUUCGAGUCCCACCGGCCGCA